rnacentral:misc_RNA from 1 species
GAUGAAGAACGCAGCGAAAUGCGAUAAGUAGUGUGAAUUGCAGAAUUCAGUGAAUCAUCGAGUCUUUGAACGCACAUUGCGCCCCCUGGUAUUCCGGGGGGCAUGCCUGUCCGAGCGUCAUUGCUGCCCUCAAGCACGGCUUGUGUGUUGGGCCCCGUCCCCUCCCCCGGGGACGGGCCCGAAAGGCAGCGGCGGCACCGCGUCCGAUCCUCGAGCGUAUGGGGCUUUGUCACCCGCUCUGUAGGCCCGGCCGGCGCCAGCCGACACCCAACUUUUAUUUCUAAGGUUGACCUCGGAUCAGGUAGGGAUACCCGCUGAACUUAAGCAUAUCAAUAAGCGGAGGA